CUAUAAGAAGGUUUUUGUAGUACGAAAGGACCCAAAAAACAUGGCCAAUACUUAAGCAAGCCAUCUUAAUAACUUAUGAUUUAGWMUUAAUAAGCAGCUAAUUCACCAUUUAACUCUAUAGCAGAGAAG
rnacentral:rRNA from 1 species